AGUUGGGGUUUCGGGACUUCAAUCCGGCAGUUCCUGGAACAAUGAUCUACCCUCCAGGAUCCAGCCACAGCACCUGCAAAUCUCCAGGUGAUCCCGCCCGUCUGGCCACAGCUGAUUGGAUGAAGAGACGAUACCCGUCCGAACCGAGCCAAUCAGUUUGCUUUCCCCCAAACACGGAACUGGGGUUUAGGAACCCACUGAGUCUUGGAGGCUGUUUAAACCUCUCUCCCCAACCCACACCAAGAAGUGGAAAAGGUAGCUCAGCAGAGGCAGGCGAAGGAGGGAACAACUGAGAAGAGGCAGGACUAAUCUCUACAUGUACCCAACUUGGGGCUCAAACUCAG